rnacentral:rRNA from 1 species
GACGAACGCUGGCGGCGUGCUUAACACAUGCAAGUCGAACGGAAAGGCCCUGCUUUUGUGGGGUGCUCGAGUGGCGAACGGGUGAGUAACACGUGAGUAACCUGCCCUUGACUUUGGGAUAACUUCAGGAAACUGGGGCUAAUACCGGAUAGGAGCUCCUGCUGCAUGGUGGGGGUUGGAAAGUUUCGGCGGUUGGGGAUGGACUCGCGGCUUAUCAGCUUGUUGGUGGGGUAGUGGCUUACCAAGGCUUUGACGGGUAGCCGGCCUGAGAGGGUGACCGGCCACAUUGGGACUGAGAGACGGCGCAGACUCCAACGGGAGGCAGCAGUGGGGAAUAUUGCACAAUGGGCGGAAGCCUGAUGCAGCAACGCCGCGUGCGGGAUGACGGCCUUCGGGUUGUAAACCGCUUUCGCCUGUGACGAAGCGUGAGUGACGGUAAUGGGUAAAGAAGCACCGGCUAACUACGUG